rnacentral:rRNA from 1 species
UACAGAGGGUGCAAGCGUUAAUCGGAAUUACUGGGCGUAAAGCGUGCGUAGACGGUUAUGUAAGUCAGGUGUGAAAGCCCAGGGCUCAACCUUGGAAUUGCAUUUGAGACUGCAUAGCUAGGGUGCGGAAGAGGGAAGCGGAAUUUCCGGUGUAGCGGUGAAAUGCGUAGAUAUCGGAAGGAACACCAGUGGCGAAAGCGGCUUCCUGGUCCAGCACCGACGUUCAGGCACGAAAGCGUGGGGAGCGAACAGG